AGAAUCAACGCUGGCGGCGUGCCUAACACAUACAAGUCGAACGCGGUUACCCCGCAAGGGGUAACUGAGUGGCGAACGGGUGAGUAACACGUGGGUGACCUACCUUCGAAUGGGGGAUAACGUCCCGAAAGGGACGCUAAUACCGCAUAACAUCCUGCCUUUGAAAAGGUGGAGAUCAUAGCCGGGGAUCGCAAGACCUGGCGUUUGAAGAGGGGCCCGCGUCCGAUUAGCUAGUUGGUGAGGUAACGGCUCACCAAGGCGACGAUC
rnacentral:rRNA from 1 species